AUUGAACGCUGGCGGCAGGCUUAACACAUGCAAGUCGAGCGAGCGGCGGACGGGUGAGUAAUGUCUGGGAAACUGCCUGCUGGAGGGGGAUAACUACUGGAAACGGUAGCUAAUACCGCAUACCAUCAUAUGUGCCCAGAUGGGCUUAGCUAGUCGGUGGGGUAAUGGCUCACCUGGGCGACGACCCCUAGCGGGUCUGAGAGGAUGACCAGCCAGCCUGAGAUUGAGCCACGGUCCAGACUCCUACGGGAGUAAGCAGUGGGGAAUAUUGCACAAUGGGCGGAAGCCUAAUGAAGCCAUGCCGCGUGUUUGAAGAAGGCCUUCAGGUUGAAAAGCACUUGCAGCGAGGAGGCGUUACGCGCAGAAGAAGAACCCGCUAACUCCGUGCAAGCAGCCGCGGUAAUAC
rnacentral:rRNA from 1 species